UUAAGCGACUAAGCGUACACGGUGGAUGCCCUGGCAGUCAGAGGCGAUGAAGGACGUGCUAAUCUGCGAAAAGCGUCGGUAAGGUGAUAUGAACCGUUAUAACCGGCGAUGUCCGAAUGGGGAAACCCAGUGUGAUUCGUCACACUAUCGUUAACUGAAUACAUAGGUUAACGAGGCGAACCGGGGGAACUGAAACAUCUAAGUACCCCGAGGAAAAGAAAUCAACCGAGAUUCCCCCAGUAGCGGCGAGCGAACGGGGAGCAGCCCAGAGUCUGAAUCAGCUUGUGUGUUAGUGGAACGGUCUGGAAAGUCCGACGGUACAGGGUGAUAGUCCCGUACACCAAAAUGCACAGGCUGUGAACUCGAAGAGUAGGGCGGGACACGUGGUAUCCUGUCUGAAUAUGGGGGGACCAUCCUCCAAGGCUAAAUACUCCUGACUGACCGAUAGUGAACCAGUACCGUGAGGGAAAGGCGAAAAGAACCCCGGCGAGGGGAGUGAAAAAGAACCUGAAACCGUGUACGUACAAGCAGUGGGAGCACCUUCGGGUGUGACUGCGUACCUUUUGUAUAAUGGGUCAGCGACUUAUAUUCUGUAGCAAGGUUAACCGUAUAGGGGAGCCGCAGGGAAACCGAGUCUUAACUGGGCGUUAAGUUGCAGGGUAUAGACCCGAAACCCGGUGAUCUAGCCAUGGGCAGGUUGAAGGUUGGGUAACACUAACUGGAGGACCGAACCGACUAAUGUUGAAAAAUUAGCGGAUGACUUGUGGCUGGGGGUGAAAGGCCAAUCAAACCGGGAGAUAGCUGGUUCUCCCCGAAAGCUAUUUAGGUAGCGCCUCGUGAACUCAUCUUCGGGGGUAGAGCACUGUUUCGGCUAGGGGGUCAUCCCGACUUACCAACCCGAUGCAAACUACGAAUACCGAAGAAUGUUAUCACGGGAGACACACGGCGGGUGCUAACGUCCGUCGUGAAGAGGGAAACAACCCAGACCGCCAGCUAAGGUCCCAAAGUCAUGGUUAAGUGGGAAACGAUGUGGGAAGGCACAGACAGCCAGGAUGUUGGCUUAGAAGCAGCCAUCAUUUAAAGAAAGCGUAAUAGCUCACUGGUCGAGUCGGCCUGCGCGGAAGAUGUAACGGGGCUAAACCAUGCACCGAAGCUGCGGCAGCGACACUAUGUGUUGUUGGGUAGGGGAGCGUUCUGUAAGCCUGCGAAGGUGUGCUGUGAGGCAUGCUGGAGGUAUCAGAAGUGCGAAUGCUGACAUAAGUAACGAUAAAGCGGGUGAAAAGCCCGCUCGCCGGAAGACCAAGGGUUCCUGUCCAACGUUAAUCGGGGCAGGGUGAGUCGACCCCUAAGGCGAGGCCGAAAGGCGUAGUCGAUGGGAAACAGGUUAAUAUUCCUGUACUUGGUGUUACUGCGAAGGGGGGACGGAGAAGGCUAUGUUAGCCGGGCGACGGUUGUCCCGGUUUAAGCAUGUAGGCUGGUUAUCCAGGCAAAUCCGGAUAAUCAAGGCUGAGGUGUGAUGACGAGGCACUACGGUGCUGAAGUAACAAAUGCCCUGCUUCCAGGAAAAGCCUCUAAGCAUCAGGUAACAUUAAAUCGUACCCCAAACCGACACAGGUGGUCAGGUAGAGAAUACCAAGGCGCUUGAGAGAACUCGGGUGAAGGAACUAGGCAAAAUGGUGCCGUAACUUCGGGAGAAGGCACGCUGGUGUGUAGGUGAAGUCCCUGCGGAUGGAGCUGAGACCAGUCGAAGAUACCAGCUGGCUGCAACUGUUUAUUAAAAACACAGCACUGUGCAAACACGAAAGUGGACGUAUACGGUGUGACGCCUGCCCGGUGCCGGAAGGUUAAUUGAUGGGGUUAUCCGUAAGGAGAAGCUCUUGAUCGAAGCCCCGGUAAACGGCGGCCGUAACUAUAACGGUCCUAAGGUAGCGAAAUUCCUUGUCGGGUAAGUUCCGACCUGCACGAAUGGCGUAAUGAUGGCCAGGCUGUCUCCACCCGAGACUCAGUGAAAUUGAACUCGCUGUGAAGAUGCAGUGUACCCGCGGCAAGACGGAAAGACCCCGUGAACCUUUACUAUAGCUUGACACUGAACAUUGAGCCUUGAUGUGUAGGAUAGGUGGGAGGCUUUGAAGCGUGGACGCCAGUCUGCGUGGAGCCAACCUUGAAAUACCACCCUUUAAUGUUUGAUGUUCUAACGUUGGCCCCUUACCGGGGUUGCGGACAGUGUCUGGUGGGUAGUUUGACUGGGGCGGUCUCCUCCCAAAGCGUAACGGAGGAGCACGAAGGUUAGCUAAUCCUGGUCGGACAUCAGGAGGUUAGUGCAAUGGCAUAAGCUAGCUUGACUGCGAGCGUGACGGCGCGAGCAGGUGCGAAAGCAGGUCAUAGUGAUCCGGUGGUUCUGAAUGGAAGGGCCAUCGCUCAACGGAUAAAAGGUACUCCGGGGAUAACAGGCUGAUACCGCCCAAGAGUUCAUAUCGACGGCGGUGUUUGGCACCUCGAUGUCGGCUCAUCACAUCCUGGGGCUGAAGUAGGUCCCAAGGGUAUGGCUGUUCGCCAUUUAAAGUGGUACGCGAGCUGGGUUUAGAACGUCGUGAGACAGUUCGGUCCCUAUCUGCCGUGGGCGCUGGAGAAUUGAGGGGGGCUGCUCCUAGUACGAGAGGACCGGAGUGGACGCAUCACUGGUGUUCGGGUUGUCAUGCCAAUGGCACUGCCCGGUAGCUAAAUGCGGAAGAGAUAAGUGCUGAAAGCAUCUAAGCACGAAACUUGCCCCGAGAUGAGUUCUCCCUGAGACUUUAAGUCUCCUGAAGGAACGUUAAAGACGAUGACGUUGAUAGGCCGGGUGUGUAAGCGCAGCGAUGCGUUGAGCUAACCGGUACUAAUGAACCGUGAGGCUUAACCUU
rnacentral:rRNA from 1 species